GGCGGCGCAGCGCGGCUGGCAGACGCUCACGCAGCUCUCGUAAUGGCUGUUGGGGGGGCAGGUGACGGCUGGAACGGAAGACGCGCGUCAGGCCUCGCACGCCCACGGGGACGGCGCUCAGAGUUGCCUUCCGGUUAGGCCCUCGGGGAGGCGGAGGCCUGGCCCGGAGGGAGCCCUGCCACCCUUUCCUCGCCGUGAACCCCCUCUGCUUCUGGAAAGCCUCCCUCUGACUCCUCGCGUCUUCCUUCCGUCAUGGACCGCAGGGCAGAUGAGGAUGCUUGCACCGUCUUAUUAAAGUAUCUUCCCAUGGGUUGCUCAUUAGUUGCAAGAGAAAAAAACACUGUGCCUGCAGAGUGGAGACAUUUGACACCUGACCAGGGGACCAAUGUGCCCAUCACCACUGAGAGGGGGCUGGAUGGACACGGCCCCCACAUGUGAUGUGAUACCGUGAGAAAAACACACAUCACCUCUGCUGGAGUGUGAGAGGGGACACACAGCAGAACCAAAUCAUGAGGAAACAUCAGACCCAAACGGAGAGCCAUUCUAUUUUCAAAGGUGGGAGGUUGUCGUCUUUAAAAAUGACAAUAGAAGAGAAAAAAGAAAGUCAAGGAACUGUUCCAGAUUGAGGGCAACCAAAGAGACGUGACAGCUCUAAACACAACAUGUAUCCUAGCCUAGAUCCAUAUUGGGGGGAGGGGGAUGCCAUAAAGGACAUUAUGAGUCAAUUGACAAAAUUGAAAUAUAGAUAUUAAAUGAUUAUAUCAGUGUUAAAUGUCCUAAGGUCAGUGAGUAUACUGUGGUUCUGUAAAUGACAGUCAUUAUUCUAAGGAAAUACACACUGAAGUAUUUAGGGGGGCCAAGGGGUAUGAUGUAUGUAACUUACUUGCAAAUGCAGAGAGAGCAUGUGAGAGAGAAUGAUAAGGCAAUGGGGCAAAAUGCUAACUGUAGGUUAAUCUGGGUAAUGGGCACACAGAUAUUCUUGUAACUUUUCUGCAACUGUGAAAUUAUUUCAAAACAAAAAGUUUGAGAAAUAAACAAACUUAGAGAUAUAGUGGAAAUGAGAGAAACAGAUGUAGACGAUGGAAUCUUAAUGGUGGCAUCGGUUUGGGUUUAGGGCUGAUCUUUUUGGUGGGAAAGGCAUGGGUGCUGAAGUCCAGGUGGGGUUAGUUGUUGCUCCAGGUAUGGGUCCUGCCCUCUCAGCCACUCCUUCUCCUGCCUUUCUACAUCACUGUUCCCACCAGCCUCCCCCAUCGCCUAAGGGGCUAUAUGUCAGGUCUUCUCAGCAAUUAUUCUAAUUACUGCUAAUACUGGCACUGCCCUGCUGAGAGGGGUCAGAUACUCUGGGCACAAAGUGAAAAAACCAACGUGGGACUCUUCAUAGCCAUUGUCAGGCUUGCCCCAGGGAGCGGCGCUAAUCUCUACUCCGCGAAAGGCACCCUGACCGAUCACUUUCUGUUGAAAGAACGGAGCCCUCCUUUGCCAAGAAAGAAGACACCAAUGGAGCCAUCACAAAGACUCCCAGUCUUUGAUAUGACGUGUAUCCUCCACUAGAUAAAAGCAGGAGUCAAUGAGAUGGCUAAUCCUUCUACAGUGAAGAGAUACUGUGUGAUUAGAAACAGAAAUAAAGGUGAGGAACAGUUUGGUUGGGGGUGAUGGGCCUUCCAAAGGACACAUCAGAUGAGGAGGCUACACACCAGAGUCAGACUGCCCCGGAGCUCAAUUCCCCCACCUCCCCGGGGGCCUCCCGCAUCAGGUAGCCCCGACUUACGGCAGAAGUCAUAGGUCCGCCAGGGGCCCACCUCCACGUCGGCGUUCUUGCACGCACUUGCGUACCGGGCCACGGAGUCACAGAGCUCCGACUCAUUGCCUCCACUCUGGCACAGACGGAAGAGGCAGGUGCGGUAGUAGGCGGUGACGUUGACCACUCCAUGGCACUCGAGGAAGGAGCUGUUGGAGGGGUCAUUGAUGAUGCCACACCUGGAGCGGCUCCGAUAAAAUUUGAGCAGCUCCGAAUCAUUGUUGCAGGCCUUCAGCAGGUCCCCACACUCCCCGUUGCAGAUCUCCUCAAAGGUCGUCCAGCUUUCCAGGAACACCGCCAGGUUGUCCGUGCACUUGCCGUUGGGGAGACAGAACUCAUCGCUGGCGUUUGCAUUGAAGAAGCCACACAACCCGCCGGUGCAAUUGAAGUAGGUGGUGGAGAGCCGGAUGUACAGCAGUCCGAUGUCUGUGUAUUGGACCGUCACAACACCCCUCGACUCUACUGUCGUGCUGUUUUUGUUGCGAUAAAUCUCCAGCUUCCCCGAAGGAUGGAAAAAUGGUAAUUCUACCUCCUGGCCAUUCAACUGAAAAAAAUCAAAUCACUCUCAUCACUUCCAGAUGCGCUCAGAGUACCCACCGUUUCCUAGGCUAUGAAAUAGAGACACGGUUCUGCCCGGCGACUCACCCUUUGAGAAAAUGUCAAGAAGCUGACAGUCUAUGGACACCACACACACAGACGCAAACUGUUUCCUCAUGGGCACUUCUGUUUCUUUGUUUCUACCCCUCCGAUUCAACACAUUUGCUGUUUCUCUGCGUAUACAUACGACCCUAGGCUAGCCCCAAACAACAGUGAAAUGUGAGUAGACGUGGUCUUGAUACACACGUGGCUUUCUCCUUCUGUGUGAUGGCUCCUUUUCACUGGUGGCGCCCCUUCUUCCCCACCGUUCUGGCCCCUUCCUUUCCUUCAGAUCUGUUCCUGUGCCCUAGCCCCUCGGAGGCAUAUGGUUAUCUAGCUGUCCAUCCACCUUAUCUACCUUUUACUAUUCUUUUAAUAAAUUAAUCUCUGCCAGUGUGUCAGUGGGAAUGAAAACAGCUUUUUCAGUCUGCGGAGGUGUGUUUCCUCUUCUUGCACAGCACAGCACAGCACCACGCUGACUUCUGUCUUCCAAAUUAGGCUUCAUGUUGGGCUAGGAGCAGGGAGGCUUGCCCUCCUGUCAUGCCAGCUCGGCCACCACUCAGCUGUGAGCUCCCCAUCCCUCGCUUAGCCCCUGGGGUCUUCAUGUGCAAACAAACAGUUGUACUAGAUGAUUCCUAACGGUCUUUCUUCAACUAAUGAUGUGGAUGCCUAACGACGAAUAUUUUAGACCGGGUCAGAGGGGCAGGAGGUGCGAUGGCAGGUACCCUUUGCCUGACCUCAAUGGGUUCCCAUCUACAGGGAGGAGAGUCAGUAUAGUACAAGGUAAGAAGCACAGACUUUGAAGCCAGCCUGCCUGGGCUCACAUAUCACUCUAUGGCUGUGUGUCCCUGAGGAAGUUACUCAGCCUCUCUGCGCCUCGUUUUUCUCGUAUGUUAAAGGUAAAUGAGGAUGAAAACAUAUCCCCCAUAGGUUAGGUGUGACAACUGCUUAGACUAGCGCUUGGCACACGGUAAGCGUCCGGUAAGCAUCGGCUGUUACGGAGACCUAGUCCUGCUUUAGCUGUAUCUAAUUUGAGAGACUCCAGCCUCACUCCAUUUCACCCCCGGGGAGACUGAUUCGGUGCCGAACGUUAGGCAGCGCUCCCACUUCGGAGCCGUUGCCUUCCUGGAAUCCACUCAUGGUCAGAGCCAGGAAGGCAUACCCGAAGAGUUCCUUCGCUUGGUGAGACGCAUCAGAAAAGCCCCAAGGGCAGCCGGAGUCUUACCUUGACUUCCGAAGCCCCAACUCCUCCGAUCUUGACCUCCUGGUCAGCCACCAGGAUGCGAACGCCUCGCAGCCAAGCAGGCCCCGCAUCGGGCUUCUUCUUGUUGAUGUCAAUUUCCAGAUACUCGGGCCGCUCGGGGCAGGUCUUGAGGAGGGUGUAGGAGAAUUCGGUGGGGAAGGCGUAGGCCGCGCCGUCGAAGGUGUGCAGCACCUGGUUCUGGCUGAGCAGGCACACGGUCUCGCGCUUGGGGAAGCAGCCCUGGUAGCCAUCCUCCACGGCGCACACCUCCCCGCUGCGGCACGUCUUGUUGAAGCAGUAGACGUCCCCGCCCUCCUCGCACAGGCACUGCACCGUGCAGUUGGCCGUGGCCCAGAAGAACUCCCCCAUGGUGUAGUAGUGACCGUCGAAGUCGCAGCCGCACUUGUGCAGCGGGACGCACUGGCUGGUGCUGAGGACAAAGCCUUCGUUGCACUCGCAGCCCUCGGUGCAGGGCGUGGCGCAGUUCUGGGAGGCCGUCAGGUCAGAGCAGGUGUCCGGGCAGCUGCUGGUGCACACGGAGUAGUGGCUGAAGCUCGGGCACUGCACCGUGGAUACUGACGUAGGGGAGAGGAGAGAGCGUGACAACAGAUGAAGGCCCCGGGGUGGUGACCGUGGGGAGCCACCACACACGGGAGCCCCACGGGGAAGGGCGCUCAUCGGGCGAGAGACUUUGCGAUUGCACCCGUAGAAAUCAGCUCGCUGCUUUGUGACAGCUAUGGGGCAACGUGAUCGAAUCGUGAACUUUUGACUCUCGGGCGAUCAUCUUGACUGAAUUACACUUCAAGUGGCGAUCCUAACUGGACUACACUGAUUACUCAACAUCGAUUUAUUACUGGAUGAUCUACAACCACUCAGAUGCUCUAAGAUCUUCGGCUGAUGGACACAGAAGUCAAUCUGACCUUAAACAGCAUAACCUACUCUUAAGAGGAAAUAAAUCCAACUUGCAGGAGAAAAGAAAAGAUGAAAAGGUGGCUGGGGCCAUUUGAAAACAUGAAAUUUCUUACAGGGAGGCACUCAAAAUACCUAAGUGAAGACUAUAAAAGACGAUGAGCGAAGACUAUGAAAAUGAGUACUCUAGGAUCUUAAAAAUAAGAAAGAACCUUGGUUGUGGGAAAGAAUUUGUGUGUCUGCACUGCCAGGAGACUGGGUUGGAGCUAGAGGUCUCCUCAAGGCCCUUCUUGCCUCAGAAGCCUCUGGUUCUCAUUUUAAGAACGUGGGAGUCUACAUAAAUGCUUGAGUCGGGUCGAAUCCAAGAGGCAGGGGCUCAAGGGACUGCUAAACUAGCUGUCUGAAUUAACUGGAAUUCAUAGCGCUAACAUGAGAGAGAGGGGGUGGGCAAUGUGGAAGAUAGGACCACUAGGGGAAAAAGUAGCCAUUACAGGCAAUUUGCUUAGGUAAUUUGGAUGUUCUUAGAUUAUACAAGGAUCAAAAAAAAAAAAAAAUCCAUAAUCAAUCUCAACUUGAGUAUGCUCCUGGCAUACUCAGAGGCUGGUCAGUCACACAACAAGCAAUAAGAAAACACGGUCUCUUCGUAGUUGGAUCAAUUCUCUGAGAAUUGAACCUGAUACACGAUUUUGUGAAUCCAACAUGUAGUGAGGGGGAAGAAAAAUCUCCCUUUGGUCUCGGAACUGAAAGAAACUUUGAAACCUUCUCAUCUGCGUGGGAAUCUAAAAUGCACGGACAUAAUGUUCUGUAUGCCCAUGUGGAAAAACCAAGGGCCAGGAGAGAAACAGAACUCCAAGAAGCGGCGUUGUUUUUACUUGUUUGCUUGCUUGCUUGUUUUAAAAGUUUAUCUAAUUACGAAAAGAGAGGUUUAAGUGGGAUAGAAGGAGAAAAACGAGACAACUAAGUCGUACAAAAUGCUUCAUGCGAAAAGGUAAUUCAGAAGAAGCUGAAUUUCCCCACGCUGUUAGGGCUUUCUCCUAACCACCUCGCGCUUCUGAAACAGGGCCUUCUUUCCUGAUGUUCUGUGCUCCCUGGCAGCAGCCCUUUUCCCACUGACACCAGUGGGUCAGCGAAAACACGGCAGAGCAAGAGACACAGAACCUAGAGGGACGGAAGGCGGAGAAGAGUCAAAGAACAGUUGCUAUUGGUUCCACUUGGGAGGUGAAUUUCCCCCAAAGCUGGUUAUGAUUACUCAGACCAGUGUCUGUGCUUGCUCAGUGGCCACAAAUACAGCCACCUUCCCUCUGAACACCCACCUCCCUUCUUAACUCAGGGAUAGCCAUCCCUGGGACAGGGCCUUCCUCCCGUCAAGCAUUUCCUGCCACUCACUCCCCUGUUUCUGGACCAUUUGUGCUCAAAUGGUUUUCUUGUUUUCUGGCUAUGGUAUUGGGUGGGCAGGAAAAGGAAAGAUCCUUUUUGCUGUUCAUUCUUCAUAACGUGUGGCUAUGUUAACCUCACCCUCACUCUUGGGCAAUUUGUCUUAACAAGGAGAGUUUUGAGGAGCCCGGAAACCCUCUCCCUGGCCCCCUGCGCGAGCACGCCCUUCCAUUUGGAUGGGAUGCCAGCUUACCACACCCAGUCUGGACCCGCCAGUCUCCGAUUGGAAUGCCGAGGGCCUGGCACACGAGCGCGUAGGCCUGGAUGGCUUGACAGAGGAGUGUCCCAUUGUCCCUCACGCUGCACAGGUCAUACACACAGCUGUGCACAAAGGCUGUGGGGUCCACGACGGUGCCACACUCCCACAGGGGGCCGUCCGUCUUGUUGAGGAAGCCGCAGUAGUCCGAACCAAAGAAGAGGGCUUCCGUGGCUGUGUCACACAGAGUGCAGUUGUCCACGCAGCCCGAGUCGCACUUCCAGUCGGCAUGGUAGACCCGCCAGCUCUCUCCGAGAUCCAGGACAGACAUGGCUGGCCUGCCGUCAGGGCGGAGGAAGUCGUCCAGCGGGUUUUUAUUGUAGUUCCCACAGAGCCCACACGUAGAGUUUAUGUAGGAGCCUGGGAUGGAAAUGGAGGCGUAGUGCUGGCCAUCAAACGUCACUAAGAGCCCAAAAUCCGUUUCCACGGCAGUUGACAUGCCACUCUGGUAGAUUUUCACCGCCCCCAAGUCUAAGGUGACCGGCAAGGAAGUCACUAGGUCAUUAACCUGCCAACAACAGUAACAAUAAAAGGCAGGUGAGCAGGUGCCAGGGCAAUGGGUCCCGCGGAGGUCGGGAAAGGGAAGCCAAAGCACUCUCCAGAGAGAAUGGUCCCCCCCGGGAUGGCCUAGGCUCCAGUAAGCUUGACUUCUGUUAAGGCAGAGGCCUGGGGGAAGCCACAAAAGCAGGGUGGCGUGGGCCAGCCAAGCACUGUGCAUUUGAGACAUGACAGGCAUUACCACUACUGCCCUAGACUCCUCUGGGGACCAGGUAGUUGUCAACCCUUUCUGGCUGGCUCUAGGGCUGGCUUCAAGUCUCUCGGUGACAGACUAGCGGUGCUGUUUUCCUUUUCACUCGUCUAAAUUCAUUCUUUAAGUCUCCACUGAAGUCACAUCUUUUCCAUGACCUCGUCACUGCCUAUAGCACUCCCUGAUCCCUCCUCCCAGCUGAAAUGUGUGCCAUGCUGCCCUGGUAUUAUUCUCUGAGUGCAUCACCCUGUCACGUCCUGAUACCGGGACUAUGUCAUGUAAUCAUUCAGCAACACGAACAAACGUGAACGCCUACUGUGUACCAAGCACUAUGUUAGGUGCUAAGGAAUAAAGAAUAAAGAAAAUAAUUGUCCCCACCCCUCAUGGAGGUCCCGGUCUACUGAGGAAGAGAGACACAAAUAGAUAUUUAUAAUACGCUGUUUUUGUUUUAAAUACACAUUAAUGGAUCAUACAAUGGGAGGAUAGCAAGUGACCACUAUAUCCAGCCUAGGGGGGGGUCACACAAGACUUUUUGUAGGCAGUAAGUCUGCCCUGGGUCUUUGAAGAUGAACAGAAGUAGACAAAGGAAGACUGGGCUCACGGAAUUCUAGGACAAGAGAGUAAAGGCGGGUGGUUAGGAACAGCUACGUGAAUACGGGGUUGCCCAUUGGGCGGGGUGGCCAGAAACGAAGCUGGAGACACCAGCAAGGUCCACGGUCCAUUUAGUCAACACAUGGCAAUUUAGGCCUCUCUGUGUGCCAUGCACUGUUCUAAGGGUUGGGGAUUCGCUUUGAGUGAAAUGGACACAAAUCUCUGCCCCACGGAACUUAUAUUUUAGUUGAGGAGACCGAAACCAAACAAAAUAAACAAGUAAAAUAUAUAGGUAUGCCAGGUUGAGCAAUUAUGCAGAAAAAUAGAGCAGGGAAUGGGGAUCACAAGUGCUGGGGAAGAGGGUUUUUAACUGGAAAUAGGAUGGUCAGGGAAGGGGAUAUUUGAGAUGAGGAAGCAAGCCAGGAGCUUAUCUGGGGUGACAGUAGAUCACGCAGAGGUGACAGCCAGGCCCAAAGGUGGCGUGUGCCUGGGUGCUCCCAGCAUGACUGGAGCAGAGACAGCAAGGAGAGGGCAGUGGCAGAUGAUGCCAGAGAGAUUAGGGCAGCCAGAACAGGUAGACCUUUGUCGGCUAUUGUAAAGCCCUUGGCCUUGACUCCGAGCAAGAUGGAGAGCCAAGAGUGUGUCUAGGGCAAAGGAGGGACGUGAUCUGACUUCCAUCUUAAAAGAAUUCCUCUGGCUUUCGUGUUGGGUGCACACCCUGGAGGGCCUUUUAAGCCAUGUUUUAAACAAAACAAAUUCCAUAAAAGCAAAAACAACUUGGAUUUCUAUGCUGCAGAGAAAGCCCCAAAAGGUUUUAAGUAAGGGAAUGACGUAGUCAGAUUUGCAUUUCAGAAAGCCCACUCUGGCCAGCAGGUCAAGAUUAGAAGCAGAGAAACCAGACAGGAAACUGACGCAAAAAUCCCGGGGCGAUGGAGCAUGAGGGCCUAAACUACAUACAGACGCGAGAGAGUGGGACAAGCUCAUGGAGUCUGCUCGCAGUUUAGCCGACAAGGGUGAGAAAAGCCAUGUUAUAAGGAAGGUCAGCUAGCAAGAGCCCUGGAUGACCAUCAUGUACUGUCCAUGCUGAGACGGAGAAUGAACUCUUCCCCAAGAAAAUUGAGGAAUCCGUGCCCUAUGCCUGGACGAUGGAAAAGAGCCACACAAAAUUAGCAGAGCUGCUGGGCCUGAAAGAAAUGGCAAUGCUCCUUUCCUUCUGAAAAAAAAAAAAAAAGUCUGACUGUGAGUGAAAAAGAUUUUUAAUCAAAAUGGAAAAUAGAAAUAAAGCAUAAAGCUUUCUUCCUCAACUACAGAUAUCAUACACAUCCAUCCCCACAAUGCAGGCAAGCAGGAGAAAGCUGGGGAACAUUUUUCUGGCUUGAAAUAGUAGCAUCUAUCUACAAGAAUAAGUAUUGUGCUCAACAGCACAAUAGAAAUUUAAAAGGGAAAAACGUCAAACUUCCGUACCCCCAACUCUGACCUUGAUUUCAUAUGCAGAACUGUCCCUAGAGAGACUAACCAAAUAACAGGCAAAUUGGCAUUUCGGCCACAGUAAAACCUCACUUUUCUAAUUAUGACCAUGAUAAGCUGCACAGACCUAGGCCAGGCAGAGCCAGAAAAAGUGGAAUUAGUUCCUCGGUCCUGCCUUUUGUUGGACAUGCUGUGUCAAUUAAAACUACAACACAUAUUUAAAAAAAAAAAAAAAGAAAGAAAGAAAGAAAGAAAUCCCCGCAUUGGCAUCAGUUCUGGUUUGUAAUCUCUGUAAUGACCUCCAUGCAUGGGGAUUAAGGAUCGCACGGGGUUGCGCAAUCAACCCCUCGUGGUCUUGGUUAUUAUUGCUUGAAUAAAUACACGGUUGCAGCAAGGUUUUCAUUAACAUUAUGAAAAUUGGGGCCUCCACAAAUUGAGUAAUUGCCAGUGGCUUCUUGCUCUCCCUCCUUUGCGGAUGUGCCUGCCUGAAAUCCAGGUGGGCAGUGACAGGAAUCAUUUGCAUACGCUCAACGGACCGGCAGAUAUCCACUUUCCCCUCUCUUAUUCCAGGCAGGAGUGGGAACCUGUUGGAGGGUGUUUGGGCAAAGCCUUCUCAGAACCUUCCCACCGGCGUCGUGAAAGAGCUCAGCAAGCCUGCUCCCAGGGGGGGCCCUCACCAGCGGUGCCUCUGGAAACACCAAUCAAUUUGGAGCUUUUUCCAACAAUGCAGCAGUAGA